CGGCGCGGCGCGGCGGCCCCGCGAGUGCUGCAGUGAGGGAGGCGAGGAGGGGGGGGGAGAGAGAGAGGGAGAGAGAGAGCGCGGCUCCAACUGUUGAAUUUUCACUGAAUUCUCCACUUACCUGCGGGCGGCUGGUGAAAUGGAUCUGGCUUAUCGGGGAUCGGCGUUCGCUCCGCGUGCUACCUGGCUAAGACUGGCGACCGUCUGUUUGCAAGGGGCCACCCAUCAAUGAGGCAGAGAAGAAUAAUUGUUUUUUCUUCUUUUGCGUUUGAAAGCUUCCCUCCCACACGUUGCAGAAUUAACUGUGUACUUUGGGUCCGGACUCAAAUAAAGGAGAAAAAACAGUGCAGAACUGAGACUCGGAACUAGAUCUGUGAGCUAUGUAUUGGAAACCUAUGUUUUUAUUGCCUUUUUUUUUUUCUUUUAAUGUGAAAGAUCUCUGAUUUAUUUCACACAUAACACUGAGGAAAGGUGGUUAAAAACACUCAGCAAAGCAGGAGACAGACGCGCCUCUGUGCCAGUGAGUGGAUAACAGCCUUGUUUUCCUGAUCCUCAGUCUCCCGGAGAAAGAGGAAACAGUGACCCAGGGUGUACGAGACAGAGAGGGGGGAAAUACCAACGGCAGCGAGAUGCAGCUCUCCGCCGCAAGCAAUGCAAGAUUAGAUCUCUAAAUGCAGCAAAACACUCCCUGAAAACCAACAACCCCGCGGUGCAAUCAGACAUUUCGCUGCCGCUCACUGCACACGAAGAGGGCUUCAACAACAAGCUGAGACUUUUUUUUUUCUUUCAGUCUCUCUCCUACCCCUCCACUCCAUCAAUCGCAUUACAAGCGAUGAGUAGCAAAUAAGCUUUUUUACCUCUGCUACAGACCUGUGACCAUCCCCUUGUCCUAUGUAUAUAUAAAUAUACAUAUUUAAAAAUAUUUCUGAUCGUUUUUAGAACAAGAACCACAGUCGCCGGUUUUUGGUUUUUUUAUUAUUGUUAUUCUUUUUAUUAUUCUUUGUACAUCUGCGGGGAUUCAAGGAUCGGGAACACAUCGCCUGCCCAGAGGAGAAGAUCUUUUGCAAAUUUUCUGAUUUUUGAAACCCUCCCACUGCUGAAGUUGGACAGACGAAGUAACUGCGAGGGGACUGCAAGCACGGCAAGCUCUUGCUGAAAGGCUGCCGAAGCUGCUCCCUCCCCUCCC
rnacentral:lncRNA from 1 species